UUCCUGCCUAAUUUUUUCUCCAAAAAAACAUAGGGUGAUUUUCACUCUCCCCAAUGGUGCUUGAUAGUGCCUGUUUUUCCAUUACUCUAUCAACACUGAAUAGUAGCAAUCCUUAACAUUUUUUACUAAAUUUGAUGGGUGGAAAGUGAGAUCUCCCUGUUUGAAUUGAAUUGACUUUGCUUGAAUUUAUGUUUCUAAUUCCCUCACUGCUCAUCUAUUACUAGGCUUCGGAUUUCUUCUGUUUUGUGCAAGUAUUUGCCUUCUUCACAGUAAGCAUCUAAAAUGACUCCCUAAGACUCUUUGCUGAGCUCACUUUUUUUUGGGGGGGUCCUUUGGUCUUUUUAGGGCCAAACCUGUGGCAUAUGGAGGUCGAAAUGGAGCUACAGAUCCUGGCUUACACCACAGCCACAGCAACGUGGGAUCUGAGCCACGUCUGUGACCUACACCACAACUCACAGUAACGCUGGAUCCCUAACCCACUGAGCGAGGCCAGGGAUUGAACCCGCAACCUCAUGGUUACUAGUCGGGUUCGUUAACCACUGAGCCUCCACGGGAACUCCUGAGCUCACCUUUGAGUUUAGGGUAGAUUCUGCUAAGAUCCUUAUCAGUCCUGCCCAGGCCUGCCUGGAGCCUCUCCAGGGCUCCUUUCUAAAGGAUAAACUGUUCUGGAGCACAACAGCAAUGCCAGUCUUUGGAAGGUCGUGGACUUUUGUCAUAGGUGUGACUCAUCCCCUGUCCCUGAAGUCUGGGGCUGUCUACGUGGAAAAUGUUAAUUCCCUAUGCACAAACCUGCCGCCCACUCAGCCCUCAGCCCACAGAAGUGCUUGCUCGCCCUCCCUCCCACUACUCCUUCUCUCCUGCCUGCUCCAUUUGCCUCAUGAUGCUGUUAUAAAAAUAAAACCUCCACAGAUGCUGCACCACUCAACAGUACAAAAUUAUCCCAUGAGAAUAUACGGAUAUUCAUUUAACCUCGGUGCCUCUUUAGAAAUGUCCAGGCAUAAACAUGCAUAUAUUCGCACAUCGAUUCUUUUUUUAAAUGCAAAUGAAAGACAACUAUACAUACUCUUCUGCACCUGGCUUCUUAAAAAAUUAACAAUGUAGUGCCAAGAUCUUUCCAAAGCAACAUACGCAGAUCUUUUUCAUUUUGGCCUUUUAGUAACUGCAGGCCCAAACAAAAGGUACACUUUAAUCAUGACAGAUAUUGCCAGCUUGCACUCCCGAUGACUGUGCCAACUACCUUCCCGACAACAGUCAUGGAGAGAAGCUGGUUCCCUGUGCUCUCACCAGCACCAGGCUUUGUCAAGCUCAUAAAUCUCCUAUCUGAUAGGUGAAAAAUGAUCUCACUGUAAUCUUAAUUUGCAUUUCUCUAAUUGCGGUUUAGGAAUAUGUUUCAAAUGUUGAGGUCAUUUGUAUUUCUUUUUCUGUAAACUGCCUAUUUAUGGUUUUUAUGAACUAUCUAUUGAUGGUCCAUCUCUGUGUUACUGAUUUAUAGGAGUUCUUCACGUAUGAAAGGAAUUAGUAAUUUUGCUAUGAAUGGGUUACAAUUUCCCCCAGUUUAUUGUUGAUCUUUGUCUGCAGCCUUUUAUUAUACAUGGGUUGCCCUUAUAGAGCCUGGGUUUUCUCUCUCACAGCAGCUUAGAAUUUCUAUAAUAUACAGGUGUUCAAGGAUUGAUUUUUGUAUUCAUCCUCCUUUCUACAUUUCAGCCCCCAUUCCCCUGAGGUGGCAGGCACCUAAUCCUGUCAAUUCGGAGUCUAGCAUGUCCCCUUGUCCCCUAGAGUUUCCUGGGCUGGUCCUGAGUCUAGGUGGGCUUACUUGGGACACUGGAGGAAGCCAGAGCUCAUUUGAUCCUCCAGGCCUGCUGUCCAUCUGGCAAUCGCCGGCAUUCCCAGUCUGUCACAUCUUAUCCAAAAGGCCCCACCAAGGCUGCGCCCUCUUCGCACGGCCCUGCAGUACAGAGGGCACAGGCACAGGACUUUUGCUGCCUGCAGGGGUGCACAGGCCCACCUGCCUGACAGCCCCCUUGGCCCUUCCUCACUGGACCCUUGCCACCUCCUCUGGGCUCGUCCCAGAGAACUGGGUCAAGGCCCUUUCUCAGGGUCCCAUCAAUGUCUAUGUACAUCUCAUAACACCCCCCCGCCCCAGCUCUGCUCCCAAGCCCAGAGCCUCUGACAAGCCUCGCUGGUCUUCCCCAAACAACUCCCCCAAAGUCUGUUUCUUGUCUUCCAUUUCUCUGAGGAGUUGGAAUUUGGGACUGCAGAGGUCAGGAAGACUUUCUUUUUAGACAUUUUCUCCUCUUUCUGUUGUCACAUCCUGUCCCUGAGGCAGUGCACACAGCAUGGCCAUAAAUGUGUGUGUGUGUGUGGUUCCUGGGGAGCUUAUCAGGAACUACCAGGAGGAAAGCAGACAGAUGUAAACACUGUGCAUUUGCCAGAGCCUCUCCGGACAAGUCUCACCACCCCCCACUGGCUGCUCCAGGCCCAGCCUCUAUCAAGCCCUCAGCUGAUACCACCUGAGGCUGCUGUGGUCUGUGUGCUUGUGGUGACCCCUUUCCCGGAAGCCCGUGUGUGUGUGNGUGUGUGUAUUGGAGGGGGGGUGCUAGCCUGUCUUACUCUCCUCUGCACCAUCCAGCCCCAUGGGUCAUGCACAUCUGGGCACUGGGGCAGGUGUGUGGUGCUGAAGCACCUGCUUGUUGUUAACAGGCCAAGCUGGUUUUGUCCUUAAUGCUCUCUAAGAAGUCCAGGAACGGCAGGGCAUCAGCGAAGGGGGUACCUCGGAUGCCCCGCCCUCCCCACCACCAAAUGGCCUCCUUGGUUUCUGCUUUCUCCUAAAGGCUUUCUUCAGCUGAGCUCCAAGGGACCAAGGAGAAAAGGUUUUCUCUAGAGAUCUCUAUCUGCAGACAAGGUCUGCCCACUCAGCUUUGUCUCCUCAGCUUCCAGGUCUGCUUUGUUGGGGUUUCGUCAGGCCAGAGGGCUGGACAGUGUCGAAUGACCUGAAACUGGGGUCCUCAGGAAGGGGAGCUGUAGGGCCAGAGCUGGGGGGAAACCAGGCACCAGGCUUCAUUCGAACAGAAAAAAAAAAAAUGCAUUCCUCAGAAGACUUACAUCUCUUCCCUACUGCACCCCUGGUGCCAGCUUUGCCUCCAGCCGAACCAAAGCUCCACCCCUGAGCUUCUGGUCCUGAGGGACCAGGUCCUUUCUACGAGGUCCCCCACUUCCUGGAAGUGGAAACUGCAAUGAAAUCCAGCCACCUGCACACUGAGAGGGUCCUCCCCCUCCAAGCCCCUCUCCCUGCCUUUCUUUCUCUUUCCCUGGCAACGCCAGCUCUCGGGACGUU
rnacentral:lncRNA from 1 species